rnacentral:rRNA from 1 species
UACGUAGGAUCCAAGCGUUAUCCGGAAUUACUGGGCGUUAAGCGUCUGUAGGCGGCUUUUCAAGUCAGGUGCGAAAUCUUGCGGCUCAACCGUAUAGACUGUGCUUGAAACUGAUUAGCUAGAGGUAGGUAGAGGCAAGUGGAAUUUCUGGUGUAGGAGUGACAUCCGUAGAUAUCAGAAGGAACACCAAUGGCGAAGGCAGCUUGCUGGGCCUUACCUGACGCUCAGAGACGAAAGCGUGGGGAGCGAACGGG